rnacentral:lncRNA from 1 species
CUGAGGAAAAAUAGAUGGAGUAUAUAUCAAGCCAAAUUGGCAUUAUUGUGGUAAUCAUAGAUAAUACUUUUAGUAGUUGACAUUAUUUAUGCUAAAAUGAGAGGUAAUUAUUAUACAUAUACAUGUUUAUUGAGCCUUUAAUCAAAUAAAGGGGCAAAUUGUACUUCACUACUUGAAAAAUAGAAUUUUUGAGGUAAAUAGGAAGAAAAAAAAAUAAAGAAAAGAAAACUUCAUAUGACAAACAAUUUUUCUUAUUAUUUUACUAGACCCACUUUUGCCACUUCGAUCACUUGUAAUGGUAAGGAAUUUUUGCAAUGUGGACUGGCUCAAACGGUGUGGUUGAUGGCUUCAUUUGACAAGUUUGUCUCAUAAUCAGGUGACUCCUCUUUAGGUAUUUUAUAGUAGGAUGGUAGCGGUUCAUUAAAAAUCUCUGGCCAAUCAUCUUCUGGAUCUAACAUAGGAUCAUAUUCAAAUUUAUUAUCAUUCCUUUCACCAAUCACAGUGGUGAGCAUUAUCAUUCCAAGUAAAAGUAAUACUAAUGAAUAUUUAGAGCUCAUAUUUUGAUCAAAUUUUGAUUGACACACUGGAAAGAGUGAAACAAC